GGGGCGGUAGCUCAAUUGGGAGAGCACUAGCUUUGCAAGCUAGGGGUUGAGGGUUCGAGCCCCUUCCGCUCCA
rnacentral:tRNA from 1 species